rnacentral:rRNA from 1 species
GACGAACGCUGGCGGCGUGCUUAACACAUGCAAGUCGAACGGAAAGGCCCUGCUUUUGUGGGGUGCUCGAGUGGCGAACGGGUGAGUAACACGUGAGUAACCUGCCCUUGACUUUGGGAUAACUUCAGGAAACUGGGGCUAAUACCGGAUAGGAGCUCCUGCUGCAUGGUGGGGGUUGGAAAGUUUCGGCGGUUGGGGAUGGACUCGCGGCUUAUCAGCUUGUUGGUGGGGUAGUGGCUUACCAAGGCUUUGACGGGUAGCCGGCCUGAGAGGGUGACCGGCCACAUGGGGCCUGGGAAACGGCCCAGACUCCUACGGGAGGCAGCGGGGGGGAAUAUUGCACAAUGGGCGGAAGCCUGAUGCAGCAACGCCGCGUGCGGGAUGACGGCCUUCGGGUGGUAAACCGCUUUCGCCUGUGACGAAGCGUGAGUGACGGUAAUGGGUAAGGAAGCACCGGCUAACUACGU